rnacentral:misc_RNA from 1 species
GGUUGACAUAGCAUGUCCUCUAUGGAAUCCUCAGCAUUCUCUAACAUCCAAUGGAAGGAGCGGAAACCACACUGGAUCAUGAAUCAGGUGCUGGAAUACUUUCUGAUUUACUGCCAUCUGUAGCUAUUUUAGUAGCUUAGUAUAGCGAUUCCAUACAUUGGUUUUUUUUACGGAGUUUACAUUGCAAUAACAUUUCUUUUCAUAAAUGUACUACUGUUAAUUGCAAAAAGAUGUAAUCUCACUUAUUC